UACGUAGGGGGCUAGCGUUGUCCGGAUUUAUUGGGCGUAAAGAGCGUGUAGGCGGCCAGGUAGGUCUGCUGUGAAAACUCGAGGCUCAACCUCGAGACGUCGGCGGAAACCAUCUGGCUAGAGUCCGGAAGAGGAGAGUGGAAUUCCUGGUGUAGCGGUGAAAUGCGCAGAUAUCAGGAAGAACUCCCGUGGCGAAGGCGGCUCUCUGGGACGGUACUGACGCUGAGACGCGAAAGCGUGGGGAGCGAACAGG
rnacentral:rRNA from 1 species